CCUUGUACACUCCUCUCUGCUCUCCCGCACCUGUUCCAUGCACCAGUUACCCACAGCCUGACAGAAACACGCACCACAAAUGGAGUCAGCAGGAGCAGUUACCCACAGCCUGACAGAAACACGCACCACAAAUGGAAUGGAGCGCUGGGAGACCACAGCCUGACAGAAACACGCACCACAAAUGGAGUCAGCAGGAGCAGGUACCCACAGCCUGACAAACACGCACCACAAGUCAGCAGGACCAGUUACCCACAGCCUGACACAGGGAGUAAAAUAAUGAGAUCCUUUUUCCACAUCAGGCUUUUACAUAUGGGACAUGUUGUUCACAGACUAAAGCUCUUUAUUUUAAAACUAAUUAUAUCUACAAUCAUAAACCAAAUGGAUACAGUUUAAAACAUACAGCAUUAAUCAAUGGCGGAUAUUUGCAUGAUUGAUGAUUGUAUUGAUUAGGGUAACGCAUAUCUCAUAAAACAAACGGGUGGUUGAUGAUCAUCAAUACCCUGUGUCACAAUGGCUCUGUUGUGAAGACAACUAAAUCAGCAGAGAGAUGAGGUCAGGAGGGCUGAGGGGAAACAAAAUGGUGGACUGAAUUAGCCUUCAUCAUGAGGGAGGUCAGGAGGGCUGAGGGGGAACAAAAUGGUGGACUG
rnacentral:lncRNA from 13 species